rnacentral:rRNA from 1 species
UGACCGCUGGCGGCGUGCCUACUACAUGCAAGUCGAGCGACCAGACGAGGAGCUUGCUCCUCUGACGUUAGCGGCGGACGGGUGAGUAACACGUGGAUAACCUACCUAUAAGACUGGGAUAACUUCGGGAAACCGGAGCUAAUACCGGAUAAUAUAUUGAACCGCAUGGUUCAAUAGUGAAAGACGGUUUUGCUGUCACUUAUAGAUGGAUCCGCGCCGCAUUAGCUAGUUGGUAAGGUAACGGCUUACCAAGGCAACGAUGCGUAGCCGACCUGAGAGGGUGAUCGGCCACACUGGAACUGAGACACGGUCCAGACCCCUACGGGAGGCAGCAGUAGGGAAUCUUCCGCAAUGGGCGAAAGCCUGACGGAGCAACGCCGCGUGAGUGAUGAAGGUCUUCGGAUCGUAAAACUCUGUUAUUAGGGAAGAACAAAUGUGUAAGUAACUAUGCACGUCUUGACGGUACCUAAUCAGAAAGCCACGGCUAACUACGUG